CUAGGGAUGGGCUGGGCAUCCCAUUCAUUUAUGGUCAUUCCAAAUUGUCCCUACCCUCUGUUGGGGAGAGAUUUACUCUUCAAGAUGGGGGCCCAGAUACACUUCGUCCCCGACGGGCCACAACUAACUGGACCAAAAGGAGAGCCCUUACACCUUCUGCCUACCAGGCUAGAUGAUGAGUAUAAUUUAUUUGAAACCACCUUUACUCAGAACCAGGACUUGACUUGGUGGCUGGAAACAUUCCUAUCAGCCUGGGUGGAAGCGAUGGAGAUGGGCAAAGCAAAAUGUCAUCCCCCUGUGGUGGUAGACCUCAAGGCAUAGGCUAUCCCUGUUUCUUAGGCAAUACCCUAUGUCUUGGGAGGCAUGAGAAGGAAUUAAGCCACAUAUCUUCAGGCUCCUCUAGCUUGUGGUGUUGCAUAAGUGCCAUUUAGCCUGGAACACACAGUUCCUGCCAGUUAAGAAGCUGGGCACUAACGAUUAUCACCCAGUCCAUGACUUACAAGAGGUAAACUGUCAAGUGGCUGACAUCCACCCUACUGUGCCUAAUCCUUACACUCUAGUUCUUUGCCACAUUCCAGAAUUUGAUACAUGGUCUUAGGCUUUCUUCUGCCUGACCUUGGCACCCCAAAGUCAAGAAUACUUCUCCUUUAAAUGGAAAAACACAGAAGAUGGGACCACCUGUCAGCUGACAUGGACGAGAUUCUCCACUGGUUGGGCUCAAUCUGGCCACCUUGCUGCCCAAUCCCAACCUCAAACCACCAUAGCCCAAGUGUCAAUAAAUACUGGCAAGAGCCCAUAGGGAGAAAAGACACUGACUCCUGCCUGGAGCUGAGGAUACCUGGUUUACAGAUGGGAGCAGUUUUCUCCAUAAGGUGAGAGACAAACGAGUGCUACCUUGGUAGAUGGCACAAAUGUCAUCUGGACCGAACCUCUACCUACCCUGGCACAUCGGCGCAGAAAACAGGGCAAAUUGCCCUCACCAAAGCCUUGGAACUUGGGGUCAGCAAGAAAAUUAACAUCUACAUGACUAGUGGGUAUGCCUUUGCCACAGCCCACAUCCACAGGGCUACAUACUGAGAGAGGACUUCUCACAUCAGAGUGAAAAGAAAUAAAAGUACAAGCAGGAAAUCUUGGGUUUCUUGGAUGCCCUGAUGAAGCCAGCAACUGUGAGUAUUAUUCAUUGCCCAGGACAUCAGAAGGAAAGAGACUUAGUGGCCUGGGGCAAUAAGCAGGCAGAUCGAGUAGCUUGAGAAGUGACUAUGCAGGAGCCUAUCCUGGUUAUGGGCCACCUACUGGGAACUGGAAUUGGACUAAGGGAUGGCCUCACUUAGAAUAUACAGCAGAAGAAAAGGCCCAAAUUCCUAGCCACUCCACCAACUGUUACUUAGAGGAGGAAGGACAAUGGCGCACUCAAGAGGGUAAAACCAUAUUCCCCAGAGAACAAGCAAAAGGGGUUAAGAAGCUCAUCCAAGCAGUCAAAGUAUAUGUAAUAGACUUAGGUUUUUAGCCAGAGAGACAGUAGAACAGUAUAAGGUAUGUCAGCAAGUGAAUGCUUAUGCAGCCAAGAGCAAACAGGGCAAGAGACCUAGGGGAGAACAACCUGGAGUAUGUUGGGAGGUCGAUUUCACAGAAGUUUUAAGUCAGGAAAAUAUGGUUACAAAUACCUCCUAGUGUUUGUAGAUACUUUCUCUGGAUGGGUUCAGGCUUUCUCCACCAAGCAGGAAACAGCUACUGUGGUAUCCAAGAAGAUAUUAGAAGAAAUCUUCCCAAAGUUCAGAGUGCCCAAGGUAACUGGAUCGGAUAACAGUCCUGCUUUUGUUUCUAAGGUCACUUUCUCACGUUCAUGCCUUCCGGUUUUGUUUUGGAACUCUGAUUGAACCAGACUAUGUGUGUGGCCAUUGGGUUCGGAACUAUUCCCGGAAGCCCCAUGAGCUUGCCAUUUGGUACACAGG
rnacentral:sRNA from 1 species